rnacentral:rRNA from 1 species
AAAGCGUUAUGUGGAUCGAACAUUAGUAGAGAAGCGUGUGAGCCAGCUGCCAAGAAAAGCCGCUAUUGUUUCAUAAGUACCCGUACCGUAAACCGACACAGGUGGAUGAGGAGAGAAUCCUAAGGCCGGCGGGAGAAGUGUUGUUAAGGAACUCGGCAAAAUGACUCCGUAACUUCGGGAGAAGGAGUGCCACAGAGAUGUGGCCGCAGAGAAAUGGCCCAAGCAACUGUUUAGCAAAAACACAGGUCUAUGCAAAACCGAAAGGUGAGGUAUAUGGGCUGACGCCUGCCCGGUGCUGGAAGGUUAAGAGGAGAGGUUAGAGCAAUCGAAGCUUUGAAUUUAAGCCCCAGUAAACGGCGGCCGUAACAAUAACGGUCCUAAGGUAGCGAAAUUCCUUGUCGGGUAAGUUCCGACCCGCACGAAAGGCGUAAUGAUUUGGGCACUGUCUCAACAACACACCCGGUGAAAUUGAAAUACCAGUGAAGAUGCUGGUUACCUGCGCCAGGACGGAAAGACCCCAUGGAGCUUUACUCCAGUUUGAUACUGGGAUUCGGUACUGUCUGUACAGGAUAGGUGGGAGGCUAGGAAAUGGUGACGCCAGUUGCCAUGGAGCCAACCUUGGGAUACCACCCUUACAGUACUGGGUUUCUAACCUGCAGCCGUAACCCGGCUGGGGGACAAUGUCUGACGGGGAGUUUGACUGGGGCGGUCGCCUCCGAAAGAGUAUCGGAGGCGCUCAAAGGUUCCCUCAGAACGGUUGGAAACCGUUCGAAGAGUGCAAAGGCAGAAGGGAGCUUGACUGCGACACCGACGGGUGGAGCAGAUAUGAAAGUAGGACUUAGUGAUCCGGUGGUAUAAAGUGGGAUUGCCAUCGCUCAACGGAUAGAAGCUACCCUGGGAUAACAGGCUUAUCACUCCCAAGAGUUCACAUCGACGGAGUGGUUUGGCACCUCGAUGUCGGCUCAUCGCAUCCUGGAGCUGUAGCAGGUUCCAAGGGUUGGGCUGUUCGCCCACUAAAGCGGUACGCGAGCUGGGUUCAGAACGUCGUGAGACAGUUCGGUCCCUAUCCGGCGUGGGCGUAGGAUAUUUGAGAGGAGCUGUCCUUAGUACGAGAGGACCGGGAUGGACAAACCUCUGGUGUAUCUGUUGUUUUACCAAAGGCAUGGCAGAGUAGCCAAGUUUGGCAGGGAUAAACGCUGAAGGCAUCUAAGCGUGAAGCCCCCCUCAAGAUAAGAUAUCCCAUCUUCGGAGUAAGACCCCUUGAAGACUACAAGGUUGAUAGGCUUCAGGUGUAAGUGUGGUAACGCACUCAGCUGAGAAGUACUAAUAGGUCGAGGACUUAUCAAA